rnacentral:lncRNA from 1 species
AGACUUUUCACUUCUGUUAUGCAUACACUUGAUGGUACAGAAAAAAGUGAAAAAAAUAUUUGAACUGAAAGAAAAAAUAGCAGGUUACAUGUGACAAAGAGUCUUAAAUUAUAAUUUUAAAUAAUAUGCAUUAAACUCCUGAGGGAAAAUAGAAAAACUGAGACCACAAAUUCAGCAAAGGAGUUAUGUUUUAAUUUUAGUAUAGUCAUUUCCAAAGCCCUUCUUUAACUUGGAAGUAUAUGCAUAGAGUUUUUUGCUCUUUAAAUCUUAUUUGUGCUGAAAGUAAAAUAAUGAACACUGGAAUCUAUUAAAAAAUGUAAUGUUUAUACAGUACUUUUUUGAAAAAGUACUGUACAGAACAGAAAUUUUAAACAGAAAUUCUAAACAGAAUUUCUAAAGAACAGAACAGAAAUUCUAAAGAAAACCCCUGGUUAUACCCAAAUGUUCCCUUCCCCCUCCAGUCUUGGAACAUAUUACUCAAGUUGUUUUCCUCUUUUUUCUAAUUUUUGUCUGCACUUUCAACCUCCUGACUGGAAAAGAAUCUGAAUACUCUCAUGAAAUAAUGAAAAAAAAAAAGGAGUUUUAAUACUUCAACUUCGAAGAAUGAGGAAACAAGGAAAAGCCUAAGGACACUGUGGAACCAGUCAUGCUGCCUGUGCACCCAGCAGCUCCAUCUAUACACAUCACCGAAUAAGAGGGUGACAACCCUAGUAAGAAAAUGGCUACCAUACUAUGGAUAUGAUUUAUCUGAAAUUAAAAUGAAGAAAGUAAUGUCUUCUUAGAAAAUGAAAUAUCAAAGGCAAGCCUGGAAUAUCUAUAUACAAUAUUCAGCAAGUUUUAUAAGCAUUGAGGAGUCUACUUAGUAUGAAGAAAUGAGUACAGAACUUCUUUAAAAAAAAAUUAACAAUAGGGGCAAACUUAACUAGAGUGCUGUGCUUUGGUGAGAUCUCUGCAGAGAUUCGGAUAUGAUGGGUGGGAUGUGCCAGAGAACAACAUCAGUCUGUUACCCUCUGAUGAAAGUGCUCUCCUGGCUCCUGGGAAUCUUCAGAGAGCAACAGAACUUGGUUCUGUUGCACAAAUGCUCUGACCAUUGAGUACUUGAAUAACCAUUGCAUUACAAAAUAAAUGGGUGUAUCUGGUGUGACUGAUGGAUUUGAGUGCCUUGACUUGAAGGCGUAGAGCACAAGACUGCAUUGCCCUCAUUACUCUGAUAAAAGCUGAGGUGGCAGAAAGCGUGGGGUAGAGUCUUUCAUCCUAACAUAAAAAGUCCAUCUUUCACUGAGAAUGCCCACUAUUGUCUUCAAGACUGAAGUUCAACUUCUGCAAGGAAGAACUAUGACCAGGAGCUCCUGUGAUGUGACUGCCUUCAUUUGUCACGGUGGGAGAUUGGUAACCAACAGUGGAAAAGUAUUCUGUCAAAGGAGUACCUUUAUGGAGAGGAAUAUGAGCCUGGGGAAGGUACAGUGUCACCACUUCCAAGACAGAACUCUGCAUGCUUGCUUUCCUUUAUUUUUCCUCUGUAAGAAUGACACUUUAUUUAUUCCUUGUGCUGUAUAUUUAUAAUGAGGUCCCGUGGCUUACCACAGUCAUCCUUUCUCUCGGCUAUAAGGAAUUAGUUCUGCUGUUGUGUAACUGUUAGGCCAAACAUCUCUGUAAAUUAGUACUCUGAAGAUGAUGGCAGUUGAAUUUGCUUACAAGUCUGAAAACAAUGUAUUUUUCUCAGUGUAUUUCUAAAUAUGGGAUUUGUCAGGCACUGAGAUCUGAAAAUAUACUCUAUCUAUAGUGCUUUAUACAAUGAUUCUGUUACACUACUGUUACCAGCAUGUUAAAAGGAGCUGCCUGAUUUGAAGCACAGAUGUUUUGAUUCAGUGUAUUUAUGUCUACAAAGUGUCCUGGG